rnacentral:rRNA from 1 species
GACGAACGCUGGCGGCGUGCUUAACACAUGCAAGUCGAACGGAAAGGCCCUGCUUGCAGGGUACUCGAGUGGCGAACGGGUGAGUAACACGUGGGUGAUCUGCCCUGCACUUCGGGAUAAGCCUGGGAAACUGGGUCUAAUACCGGAUAGGAGCCAUUUUUAGUGUGAUGGUUGGAAAGUUUUUUCGGUGUAGGAUGAGCUCGCGGCCUAUCAGCUUGUUGGUGGGGUAAUGGCCUACCAAGGCGGCGACGGGGAGCCGGCCUGAGAGGGGGAGCGGGCCAGGGUGGGAGUGGAGGAGCGGCCCCACACAGAGGGAGAGGCGGCACAGGGUAAUAUGGGCGAAGGAGGGGGAGCAUGGUGGAGCCACGUCGCGAGCGUGAUGACGGCCUGCGGGGUGUAGACUCAUGUCGCUGGGGUGGGACUUUUUGUUUGCAGUACCUAAAAAAGCACCGCCUACCAACUAGGUCCCAGGACCCGAGAUAAUAAUCGGACCACCGCACACUCAAUC